AUUGAACGCUGGCGGCAGGCCUAACACAUGCAAGUCGAGCGGAUGAAGGGAGCUUGCUCCUGGAUUCAGCGGCGGACGGGUGAGUAAUGCCUAGGAAUCUGCCUGGUAGUGGGGGAUAACGUCCGGAAACGGGCGCUAAUACCGCAUACGUCCUGAGGGAGAAAGUGGGGGAUCUUCGGACCUCACGCUAUCAGAUGAGCCUAGGUCGGAUUAGCUAGUUGGUGGGGUAAAGGCCUACCAAGGCGACGAUCCGUAACUGGUCUGAGAGGAUGAUCAGUCACACUGGAACUGAGACACGGUCCAGACUCCUACGGGAGGCAGCAGUGGGGAAUAUUGGACAAUGGGCGAAAGCCCGAUCCAGCCAUGCCGCGUGUGUGAAGAAGGUCUCCGGAUUGUAAAGCACUUUAAGUUGGGAGGAAGGGCAGUAAGUUAAUACCUUGCUGUUUUGACGUUACCAACAGAAUAAGCACCGGCUAACUUCGUG
rnacentral:rRNA from 1 species